rnacentral:lncRNA from 1 species
GCCCUUUGGAUGUGACCUCUUUAAUUACAUCAAAGCAGAGGGAAGAUGUGAACAGGUCUUGUCACAUUAAAGGAGAUGAGGUCUUUUCACUCUUCAACACAUGAGUCCUUUUGUGGGAACAUGGGUCUUCUCCACCCUCUCCCAUGUGAGAGCUCAUGGUUUUUCCUGCUGGUCUACGUAUGUUGUGGUAGCAAAUGCACGU